rnacentral:rRNA from 1 species
GAUGAACGCUGGCGGCGUGCCUAAUACAUGCAAGUCGAGCGAACGGACGAGAAGCUUGCUUCUCUGAUGUUAGCGGCGGACGGGUGAGUAACACGUGGAUAACCUACCUAUAAGACUGGGAUAACUUCGGGAAACCGGAGCUAAUACCGGAUAAUAUUUUGAACCGCAUGGUUCAAAAGUGAAAGACGGUCUUGCUGUCACUUAUAGAUGGAUCCGCGCAGCAUUAGCUAGUUGGUAAGGUAACGGCUUACCAAGGCAACGAUGCAUAGCCGACCUGAGAGGGUGAUCGGCCACACUGGAACUGAGACACGGUCCAGACUCCUACGGGAGGCAGCAGUAGGGAAUCUUCCGCAAUGGGCGAAAGCCUGACGGAGCAACGCCGCGUGAGUGAUGAAGGUCUUCGGAUCGUAAAACUCUGUUAUUAGGGAAGAACAUAUGUGUAAGUAACUGUGCACAUCUUGACGGUACCUAAUCAGAAAGCCACGGCUAACUACGUGCCAGCAGCCGCGGUAAUACGUAGGUGGCAAGCGUUAUCCGGAAUUAUUGGGCGUAAAGCGCGCGUAGGCGGUUUUUUAAGUCUGAUGUGAAAGCCCACGGCUCAACCGUGGAGGGUCAUUGGAAACUGGAAAACUUGAGUGCAGAAGAGGAAAGUGGAAUUCCAUGUGUAGCGGUGAAAUGCGCAGAGAUAUGGAGGAACACCAGUGGCGAAGGCGACUUUCUGGUCUGUAACUGACGCUGAUGUGCGAAAGCGUGGGGAUCAAACAGGAUUAGAUACCCUGGUAGUCCACGCCGUAAACGAUGAGUGCUAAGUGUUAGGGGGUUUCCGCCCCUUAGUGCUGCAGCUAACGCAUUAAGCACUCCGCCUGGGGAGUACGACCGCAAGGUUGAAACUCAAAGGAAUUGACGGGGACCCGCACAAGCGGUGGAGCAUGUGGUUUAAUUCGAAGCAACGCGAAGAACCUUACCAAAUCUUGACAUCCUUUGACAACUCUAGAGAUAGAGCCUUCCCCUUCGGGGGACAAAGUGACAGGUGGUGCAUGGUUGUCGUCAGCUCGUGUCGUGAGAUGUUGGGUUAAGUCCCGCAACGAGCGCAACCCUUAAGCUUAGUUGCCAUCAUUAAGUUGGGCACUCUAAGUUGACUGCCGGUGACAAACCGGAGGAAGGUGGGGAUGACGUCAAAUCAUCAUGCCCCUUAUGAUUUGGGCUACACACGUGCUACAAUGGACAAUACAAAGGGCAGCGAAACCGCGAGGUCAAGCAAAUCCCAUAAAGUUGUUCUCAGUUCGGAUUGUAGUCUGCAACUCGACUACAUGAAGCUGGAAUCGCUAGUAAUCGUAGAUCAGCAUGCUACGGUGAAUACGUUCCCGGGUCU